CCAGGAGAACUUUGACAUCCCAGAAGUAGCAAUUGUACACUUCAAGUCGGCAAUCGACCGAGUAAGUCCAUCAGAUAUGCAGUUUUACCAAGAACUUGCGGCGCGAUUCCGCCGACUCGUUGAUGACACAGAUAAAGCAACAACGAUGGGAAUACAUACCGAAACUGCCAUUUAGUAUCCCUAUAUCUGUAGAUAGAGGAGAGCAGUUCACUCUAAUACCAGAAACGAAAGGAAAAUGGAAUUUAUGUUGACAGUUGCAGUAUUAUGAUCCUCUCCAGCAUUUCCCGCAUCUGGAAUUCUUUUUUGUUCUGGUAGAGGCUAGUAGUGCAAGUCAAGAGUUGCAUCUUUUUCCUUGGACGUCCAAUGGUUCCAUCUAGUACUAUUUUUGUAGUGGUGGCUCUUGAAAGAGAGAGGAUACUGAUUACUGGACACAAUUGCCUGUGCAAUUUUUUGCUAGUCAUGUACCCGUGGAGUCUAGAAUUUUUGUUGUA